rnacentral:rRNA from 1 species
GUAGGUGGCAAGCGUUGUCCGGAAUUAUUGGGCGUAAAGCGCGCGCAGGCGGUUCUUUAAGUCUGAUGUGAAAGCCCACGGCUCAACCGUGGAGGGUCAUUGGAAACUGAGAACUUGAGUACAGAAGAGGAAAGCGGAAUUCCACGUGUAGCGGUGAAAUGCGUAGAGAUGUGGAGGAACACCAGUGGCGAAGGCGGCUUUCUGGUCUGUAACUGACGCUGAGGCGCGAAAGCGUGGGGGAGCAAACAGGAUUAGAUACCCUGGUAGUCCACGCCGUAAACGAUGAGUGCUAAGUGUUAGGGGGUUUCCGCCCCUUAGUGCUGCAGCUAACGCAUUAAGCACUCCGCCUGGGAGCACGGCCGCAAGGCUG